CAACUCUGUGAAGUCCUGUGAGAAGCAUCAGCCAUGAGGAUCCUAUUCCUGCUCUUCCCCUUGUUCCUCCUGUUGGUCCAAGGUGCUGCAGCAGGAAAACAUGACAAGUGCAUCCGACGAGGAGGAUUCUGUGCUGUGGGGGGCUGUCGUUUCCCCUAUAAAUACGUGGGAGUUUGCUCAACACUGAGCCACUGCUGCAAAAUUGUUUGGGGUUAAACCCUGAAAUUCCCAAACAGGACAUGGCCAUCGCUUCUGGUUCCUGAAAAUCAACUCCUUAUGUCCCCUGCCCUGGGUGGCUGUGCCGUGCCCAGCUGGGCUGACAGCAGCAGUGGCAGCUGCUCCUGCUGGCUGCUGCUGGGCUGGAGCCCUGUGGUGCCAGCCCCAGUGUCUUUGGGGCAGGGGCUGCUUUUCCCACAUUGAAUAAAGAUGAGCACUUUGGCAUUGCAGGGCUGGGCCGUGUUUGUGUGUUCCGCUGCUGCUGCAGGG